GACGUAGGGGGCAAGCGUUAUUCGGAAUUAUUGGGCGUAAAGCGCUCGUAGGCGGGACUGGAAGUCCGUGUUGAAAGACCUCGGCUCAACUGAGGGACCGGCUCGGAUACUCUAGUUCUUGAGGCAAUCAGAGGGUGAUGGAAUUCCCGGUGUAGCGGUGAAAAUGCGUAGAUAUCGGGAGGAACACCAGUGGCGAAGGCGAUCACCUGGGGUUGUUCUGACGCUGAGGAGCGAAAAGCUAGGGGGAGCAAACGGGG
rnacentral:rRNA from 1 species